AAGAGCGGAGUGAGGGGAGACCCUCACGCUCCGUUCCGUGGGAGCCGGGGAGUGAAAACCUCCCCGGCCACCCGAC
rnacentral:ncRNA from 1 species